rnacentral:rRNA from 1 species
UACGGGGGGGGCAAGCGUUGUUCGGAAUUACUGGGCGUAAAGGGCUCGUAGGUGGCCAACUAAGUCAGACGUGAAAUCCCUCGGCUUAACCGGGGAACUGCGUCUGAUACUGGAUGGCUUGAGUUUGGGAGAGGGAUGCGGAAUUCCAGGUGUAGCGGUGAAAUGCGUAGAUAUCAGAAGGAACAUCAGUGGCGAAAGCGGCUUCCUGGUCCAGUACCGACGUUCAGGCACGAAAGCGUGGGGAGCAAACAGG